GAUGAAGAACGUAGCGAAAUGCGAUAAGUAAUGUGAAUUGCAGAAUUCAGUGAAUCAUCGAAUCUUUGAACGCACAUUGCGCCCAUUAGUAUUCUAGUGGGCAUGCCUGUUCGAGCGUCAUUUCAACCCUUAAGCCUAGCUUAGUAUUGGGAAUCGACUUUACUGUCGUUCCUCAAAUUCAACGGCGGAUUUAUAGCAAUCUCUGAACGUAGUAAUUUUUUUCCUCGUUUUUGAAAUACUAUAAACCUCAGCCGCUAAACCCCCAAUUUUUCUAUGGUUGACCUCGGAUCAGGUAGGAAUACCCGCUGAACUUAAGCAUAUCAAUAAGCA
rnacentral:misc_RNA from 1 species